AUCGUCCAAGCCAGGAAUCAGGCCUUCCCCAAGCUUGUGCUGCCCCUCUCCUCUCUCCUUCCAAUCUGGUCGUCAGAUCUGUCAUGUUUGCUUCCCAGUGUCUAAGCUCCACCGUCUCUGUUCUCAUCCCCUCAUUAACUGUCAGCAGCAAUUGUAUGGAUUCCUCUGAAGACUGUGAACUUGAUCCCAUCAUUGAAGGAGACAGAUUUAAAAAAAAAAAACUCUAAGAGGCCAUUUUUCCAUUAUAAAAAUCUCCCUUAACCAACCUGUGCUGGCAGGAGAGGUGGCUUAGCCGUUAAGGGCGUGUAUCUGAGUUUUACCUAAUCCUUUCCUUCCAUCUCCAACACCCCUCCCAAGAAAAGCCAUUUAGAAGACAAUGCAGACGAGUAAUAGAGGGUGGAUGUAGAUAUUUUAGAACAGCUGUGUUUCUUAGCUAUGAUAAUAGCGUAGCGGAUUUAGAUUUGUUCUCUGGAGAUACAUGUUAAAGUAUUCAGUUAUUGAGACAAGGUCUCACCCAUUGUGCUGGCCAGCCUGGAACUCUCAGUGUAGACCAGGCUGGCCUUAAACUCAGAGAUCUUCCUGAGUCUACCUCCUAAGUGCUGGAAUUAAAGGUCUGACCAUCACGGGAGGCAUAUGCUGAAGUGUUGUAUGUGUCUAGACGAUUUCCAAAUCUAUAAAAGUUUUCUUUUAACUUACACAACACAUUUUUAUCUACUUGGAGUGUGUAAAUUAUUUCAACUUCUCCAUGUUUGAAGCUUUUCUAAACAAGAAAUGGGCGAGAGGGUCUCUGUAGCAGCUGUGCAGGAGUUAGGGUCACAGGAGUAUUGCUUCAAUAUGAAACAUCUCAGAAUAGAUCUGCCGCCCUCCCCUGCCCGUGCGUGCUUCCUCGCUGCAAUACCUACUCCUGGCUUUGUGACUAGCCCUUAAAACGCUGUCUCCCCUGGAUGUCCAGCUGACAGAUGUUUCUUCCCCUUCUCUGUCAGUGGUUCUCAGCCUGUGAGUCAAGACCCCUUUGGAUUGCAUAUCAGAUAUUUACAUUACGAUUCAUAACAGCAAAAUUCCUGUUAGGAAGUAGCCAUGAAAGCCAUUUCAUGGUUGGGGAUCACGGAAACACGAGGGACUGUGUUAAAGUGGCAGCCUGAGGAAAGCUGAGAACCACUGAGCCACAUCAUUAGCUCAAGAGUUACUUCUUCCUGGCACCUCAUCUCCCGGCCACCUGAGACCCUGCCCCGUCCGGCCACCCUGCGCUGCUGCAUCUUAUCCCCCACCCCUGGGCCUCCGUCCAAAGCUUAUCUGGGGAUGCAUGUGAUCCAGUUCCCCUGCAGGCUCAGCCCUGUGGGGUCAGGGCCGGGUUCAUUCUAUGUAUGUCCUCUCGCAGCUAGCCCAACCCCUAACGCAUAUCAUCAUGCAGUUAGCAAAUAUUUGUGGGUCAAGUGGGUAUUUGUGGUAAGGCCCGCUAUGCUCUUUCUGAACAUUAAAUCUUUUUCCCCUGCCUCCCUUUGCUGACUAAACCUUAGUGCUGUCUCUCACCUGGUCAGCGCUGUUUUCCAAACCUCUCCGUUUUUGAGGCGGUUUUGGUCGGAGGUUGGGGAGUGUGUUUUGUUUUAUUGUUUUGCUGCAGUUGGGUUUAUGGUUUGUUUUAUUUUGUUUUGAGGCAGGGCUUCACAGUUUAGCCCUGGCUGGCCGGAAACUUGAUAUGUAGAUCAGACUAGCCUCAAACACAGAGAUCUGCCAGACUUUUUCUCUAGUCUUGGGGAUGAAACCCAGGGUCUCACUCAUACCAGCCAUUAAGCUACACUCCCAGCCCCAGGGGUGUCUUUUGAAAGUAUUGUUUCUCUUCAUCUCUACAUCCAGCAUCUGAACAGGAGACCAUCAUCCUUUUUCCCAUCCACCCAGAGGUUUCUUUCUUUGUUUUUGUUUUUCAAAACAGGAUUUCUCUGUAUCCCUGGCCAUGGAACUCACUACAUAGACCAGGCUGAUUUCGAACUCAGAGAUCACCUGCCUCUGCCUCUCAAUUGCUGGCAUUAAAGGUGUGAGCCACCUCUCCUCACUGAGUGUUUGGCUUUUGGUUUUGGGGGUUUGUUUUGUUUUGUUUUUAAGGCUUCCUUCAAUAAAAGGUUCUGCCAGUCAUGGCAGGAAGGAGUCCAGGAACUGCACCCCCUGCCCUGGGGGUUGGCUCAGUAUUACCAGGCUGCUUUUCCUGCCUGUUUUGAAAAUCUGCUGGCAGUAUCCAUGGCAGUGUAACACAUGCAGCAGUGUAGCGCCCCGCCCACGCUGACCUAUUAUCACCCGCUUCUUCCCACUCCCGCCCUGCACACCUUACAGACUCGUGCUGUCCGUUUCCCGACCCUGUGUCCUUGUCCUUGUACAUGUUGUUCUCUCUGGCUAGAAUUAGCACCUGCCUUGUCCAUCUGUCCUGCCUGGCCUCCAGCGCAGGGCUGCAGAGUCUCUCCUGGAGUCACUCUUGCUCCUCUUGAGGCCAAGCCGGUGAUUCAUUCCCCUGAGCUCUGGCAGUGUGUCCACUCUGGGAUCUGUGCUCAUUCUGGCUGUUUUCCCCCAGGAGAUGGAACUGACUUAGCAUCUGAUAGAACCUGAUACCAACAGAGCCUAGCAUACAAUGCUUAUUCUCAAUUCCAGUGUUUGAUAGAAAGUAGGGACCCUCCAAGCUGGAUGUGUGUCUGUCUGUCUGUGUCUCUGUAUGUUUAUGUGUGUAUAUGUAUGUGUUUCUGUGUGUCUGUGUCUCUGUGUUUACAUGCAUGUGUAUGUGUGUAUAUGUCUAUCUGUGUAUAUGUAUGUGUUUCUGUGUAUCUGUGUCUCUGUGUUUAUAUGCAUGUAUGUGUCUGUGUUUUGUGUGUGUGUGUCUCUGUGUGUAUGUGUGUCUGUGCCUGUUUAUACGGGUGUCUGUGUGUAUAUGUAUGUGUCUGUGUGUUUGUGUGCGUGUGUCUGUGUCUGCAUGUGCCUGUCAGUAAGAACCCAGGCCUUGCCUGGAUCCAGUCUCUCUGGCAGCUGUUGGCAUAGCUCUCUCCAUAUUUGGCUUAGACAGUGAGAGAGACUGGAUGACGUGUCAUCAAGUAUCCUGUGCCCAGGACUGGGCAUAUCAUACCGGCUUUUGUCAGCUGAAACCUGACACUCAAACAAGAUUUGAGUUUGACCCUCAAAGCCAGGCUCGAAGGUUCAGCCAGAGAUGUAGGUUUGGGAGAUGGCCCUGAUUAGUAGAAACAUUUUGAAUGCUGUUUGUUCUUCGAAACUUCUGAGCCCAUUGUUUAGUCUCUCUGAGCUUGUCUGGGGUUGCAAGACCUACCUUGCUGCGGUUUUGAGGCUCUAAUGACAUGACCUAGGCAAAUGACCUCAAGCAGCCCAUGGGAAGAAAUGUGUCUUUAAUAACUGUUGGUAUCCUUGAACCCUAAGGAAGAAAAGUGUCACUGUCCGCUCUAUACUUAGUCCACAAAUAAUCCUUUCAGAGUCACAGAUACAUUCAGUGCAAUAAAGAUUAGUCAUGUUUU
ensembl:sense_intronic Gm15903 predicted gene 15903